rnacentral:tRNA from 1 species
AGCAUUGUAGCUCAGUUGGAAGAGCAUUGGACUAGUAUUCCAAAGCUCGUAGGUUCGAAUCCCACCAUGGCCG